rnacentral:rRNA from 1 species
UUAAGCGACUAAGCGUACACGGUGGAUGCCCUGGCAGUCAGAGGCGAUGAAGGACGUGCUAAUCUGCGAUAAGCGUCGGUAAGGUGAUAUGAACCGUUAUAACCGGCGAUUUCCGAAUGGGGAAACCCAGUGUGUUUCGACACACUAUCAUUAACUGAAUCCAUAGGUUAAUGAGGCGAACCGGGGGAACUGAAACAUCUAAGUACCCCGAGGAAAAGAAAUCAACCGAGAUUCCCCCAGUAGCGGCGAGCGAACGGGGAGCAGCCCAGAGCCUGAAUCAGUAUGUGUGUUAGUGGAAGCGUCUGGAAAGGCGCGCGAUACAGGGUGACAGCCCCGUACACAAAAAUGCACAUGCUGUGAGCUCGAUGAGUAGGGCGGGACACGUGGUAUCCUGUCUGAAUAUGGGGGGACCAUCCUCCAAGGCUAAAUACUCCUGACUGACCGAUAGUGAACCAGUACCGUGAGGGAAAGGCGAAAAGAACCCCGGCGAGGGGAGUGAAAAAGAACCUGAAACCGUGUACGUACAAGCAGUGGGAGCACGCUUAGGCGUGUGACUGCGUACCUUUUGUAUAAUGGGUCAGCGACUUAUAUUCUGUAGCAAGGUUAACCGAAUAGGGGAGCCGAAGGGAAACCGAGUCUUAACUGGGCGUUAAGUUGCAGGGUAUAGACCCGAAACCCGGUGAUCUAGCCAUGGGCAGGUUGAAGGUUGGGUAACACUAACUGGAGGACCGAACCGACUAAUGUUGAAAAAUUAGCGGAUGACUUGUGGCUGGGGGUGAAAGGCCAAUCAAACCGGGAGAUAGCUGGUUCUCCCCGAAAGCUAUUUAGGUAGCGCCUCGUGAAUUCAUCUCCGGGGGUAGAGCACUGUUUCGGCAAGGGGGUCAUCCCGACUUACCAACCCGAUGCAAACUGCGAAUACCGGAGAAUGUUAUCACGGGAGACACACGGCGGGUGCUAACGUCCGUCGUGAAGAGGGAAACAACCCAGACCGCCAGCUAAGGUCCCAAAGUCAUGGUUAAGUGGGAAACGAUGUGGGAAGGCCCAGACAGCCAGGAUGUUGGCUUAGAAGCAGCCAUCAUUUAAAGAAAGCGUAAUAGCUCACUGGUCGAGUCGGCCUGCGCGGAAGAUGUAACGGGGCUAAACCAUGCACCGAAGCUGCGGCAGCGACGCUGAUGCGUUGUUGGGUAGGGGAGCGUUCUGUAAGCCUGCGAAGGUGUGCUGUGAGGCAUGCUGGAGGUAUCAGAAGUGCGAAUGCUGACAUAAGUAACGAUAAAGCGGGUGAAAAGCCCGCUCGCCGGAAGACCAAGGGUUCCUGUCCAACGUUAAUCGGGGCAGGGUGAGUCGACCCCUAAGGCGAGGCCGAAAGGCGUAGUCGAUGGGAAACAGGUUAAUAUUCCUGUACUUGGUGUUACUGCGAAGGGGGGACGGAGAAGGCUAUGUUGGCCGGGCGACGGUUGUCCCGGUUUAAGCGUGUAGGCUGGUUUUCCAGGCAAAUCCGGAAAAUCAAGGCUGAGGCGUGAUGACGAGGCACUACGGUGCUGAAGCAACAAAUGCCCUGCUUCCAGGAAAAGCCUCUAAGCAUCAGGUAACAUCAAAUCGUACCCCAAACCGACACAGGUGGUCAGGUAGAGAAUACCAAGGCGCUUGAGAGAACUCGGGUGAAGGAACUAGGCAAAAUGGUGCCGUAACUUCGGGAGAAGGCACGCUGAUAUGUAGGUGAAGUCCCUCGCGGAUGGAGCUGAAAUCAGUCGAAGAUACCAGCUGGCUGCAACUGUUUAUUAAAAACACAGCACUGUGCAAACACGAAAGUGGACGUAUACGGUGUGACGCCUGCCCGGUGCCGGAAGGUUAAUUGAUGGGGUCAGCGCAAGCGAAGCUCUUGAUCGAAGCCCCGGUAAACGGCGGCCGUAACUAUAACGGUCCUAAGGUAGCGAAAUUCCUUGUCGGGUAAGUUCCGACCUGCACGAAUGGCGUAAUGAUGGCCAGGCUGUCUCCACCCGAGACUCAGUGAAAUUGAACUCGCUGUGAAGAUGCAGUGUACCCGCGGCAAGACGGAAAGACCCCGUGAACCUUUACUAUAGCUUGACACUGAACAUUGAGCCUUGAUGUGUAGGAUAGGUGGGAGGCUUGGAAGUGUGGACGCCAGUCUGCAUGGAGCCGACCUUGAAAUACCACCCUUUAAUGUUUGAUGUUCUAACGUUGACCCGUAAUCCGGGUUGCGGACAGUGUCUGGUGGGUAGUUUGACUGGGGCGGUCUCCUCCUAAAGAGUAACGGAGGAGCACGAAGGUUGGCUAAUCCUGGUCGGACAUCAGGAGGUUAGUGCAAUGGCAUAAGCCAGCUUGACUGCGAGCGUGACGGCGCGAGCAGGUGCGAAAGCAGGUCAUAGUGAUCCGGUGGUUCUGAAUGGAAGGGCCAUCGCUCAACGGAUAAAAGGUACUCCGGGGAUAACAGGCUGAUACCGCCCAAGAGUUCAUAUCGACGGCGGUGUUUGGCACCUCGAUGUCGGCUCAUCACAUCCUGGGGCUGAAGUAGGUCCCAAGGGUAUGGCUGUUCGCCAUUUAAAGUGGUACGCGAGCUGGGUUUAGAACGUCGUGAGACAGUUCGGUCCCUAUCUGCCGUGGGCGCUGGAGAACUGAGGGGGGCUGCUCCUAGUACGAGAGGACCGGAGUGGACGCAUCACUGGUGUUCGGGUUGUCAUGCCAAUGGCACUGCCCGGUAGCUAAAUGCGGAAGAGAUAAGUGCUGAAAGCAUCUAAGCACGAAACUUGCCCCGAGAUGAGUUCUCCCUGACUCCUUGAGAGUCCUGAAGGAACGUUGAAGACGACGACGUUGAUAGGCCGGGUGUGUAAGCGCAGCGAUGCGUUGAGCUAACCGGUACUAAUGAACCGUGAGGCUUAACCUU